rnacentral:tRNA from 1 species
UGUAACUCAGUGGUAGAGUGCCUGCUUAGCAUGCAAGACCCCCUGGGUUCAAUCCCCAGCA